GGUCUGGGCGGGGCAGCGGCCGAGGCUGGACUGGGGCGCGGCGGGGGCGGUGUCCUGGUUCCUGUGUGGGCGGCGGGCGUGAGCGUGCGCGUGUGGCCUGGUGGCUGUGAGUGCCCAUACGUAGUGAGCGUGCGGUGCUGCGCUGAGGAGGGGCGAGCGCGCGCGGGGAUGGCGGCCCGGUGUGUGACUGUCCGGUGUGUGGCCGCGAAUCUGCGCCUGCGUGCAUGUCCCGGCGGCGUGCGGAAGGCGGUGUGUGUUGGAAUGAGUGAAGCACUUUAAGUGGCCAAGAGCAGGAAACCCGGCCGGAGGAGGCUUACCCCGUUCUCCCCUGUAUCGACUGCGUAGAGCCCAGUGUGGGCAAAGUCCUAGAGCCCGGGGAAGUUGCCCGGGCGGGGCAGCCUCGGCUGAAGCAUUUCCUGUCAGCCCUAUCUGGAAGGGGCAGAGCCCAGGACAGGGCUCCAUGUCCACAGGACAGCGAGGAGCGAAGACCAUGGGGACUGAGUACACAGAUGAAGACACAGAAGCAUAGAGAGGAUAAGUAAUCACUAGCAAGUGGAAGAACCGGGAUUCAGAUCCAGAACAGGCUGACUCCAGAGUCACUGGCUGUCAUGUAGUCUCCUCAACUACUGCCUCAGGAAACAUGGCUCAGUGGAGUCAAGGGACUGCUUCA
rnacentral:lncRNA from 1 species